ensembl:misc_RNA Metazoa_SRP Metazoan signal recognition particle RNA
GCUGGGCGUGGUGGCUCACGCCUGUAAUCCCAGCAGUUUGGGAGGCUGAGGUGGGUGGAUCACCUGAGGUCAGGAGUUCAAGACCAUCCUGACCAACAUGGUGAAACCCCAUCUCUA